AACAAUUGGAAGGUUGGAAGCCAGUAAAAUUACUGUUUUUCAAAAGAGUUCAGUAUCCAUGUAAAAAGGUGAAUCCUAUGAAUGGAGUGAUCGAAGCAGUGUUGAUCAGAAAAUGUUUUGCAGUACUUUUGAGAUCUCAGUUCCUAUGCUAGUAUGAGCUUUCCAAUUGGAUAAGAAAUUCUUGUGCGUUUUGAGACGAAAAGGUCAAUGCAUUUCUGCAGGAUCAAGGAGUGCAAAAUUCUCCAAUAUUCCGUCUCUUGAAAGAUCAUCAAGAAGGGUUCUUUGCUUGAAUCUUUUGCCAGAGAAGGCUUGCUUGAUAUGAUAAUCUCAAGUCCUUAUCAAAUGAUCUGCACAGUUUCACCUCUUAAUUUGUUGCAAGAGAAGGAUGGGAAGCCUAUAUUCCCUUGAAAUGAUACAAAAAUAUGAAGACGGAUAAAGGGCACAAACCUCUGGAUCCAUUCAUUCACCAUGGUAUUGUGAACUUAUUGUGAUGAUAAGGAAUGUGAAGGCUGAAAAAGUGUAGUGGCAGGGCAGCAAUUUAAGCACCGAAAUUG